rnacentral:rRNA from 1 species
UGGGGAAUCUUCCGCAAUGGGCGAAAGCCUGACGGAGCAACGCCGCGUGAGUGAUGACGGCCUUCGGGUUGUAAAACUCUGUGAUCCGGGACGAAAAGGCAGAGUGCGAAGAACAAACUGCAUUGACGGUACCGGAAAAGCAAGCCACGGCUAACUACGUGCCAGCAGCCGCGGUAAUACGUAGGUGGCAAGCGUUGUCCGGAAUUAUUGGGCGUAAAGCGCGCGCAGGCGGCUUCCCAAGUCCCUCUUAAAAGUGCGGGGCUUAACCCCGUGAUGGGAAGGAAACUGGGGAGCUGGAGUAUCGGAGAGGAAAGUGGAAUUCCUAGUGUAGCGGUGAAAUGCGUAGAGAUUAGGAAGAACACCGGUGGCGAAGGCGACUUUCUGGACGAAAACUGACGCUGAGGCGCGAAAGCGUGGGGAGCAAACAGG